GACGAACGCUGGCGGCGUGCUUAACACAUGCCAGUCGAACGGAAAGGCCCUGCUUUUGUGGGGUGCUCGAGUGGCGAACGGGUGAGUAACACGUGAGUAACCUGCCCUUGACUUUGGGAUAACUUCAGGAAACUGGGGCUAAUACCGGAUAGGAGCUCCUGCUGCAUGGUGGGGGUUGGAAAGUUUCGGCGGUUGGGGAUGGACUCGCGGCUUAUCAGCUUGUUGGUGGGGUAGUGGCUUACCAAGGCUUUGACGGGUAGCCGGCCUGAGAGGGUGACCGGCCACAUUGGGACUGAGAUACGGCCCGGACUCCUACGGGAGGCAGCAGUGGGGAAUAUUGCACAAUGGGCGGAAGCCUGAUGCAGCAACGCCGCGUGCGGGAUGACGGCCUUCGGGUUGUAAACCGCUUUCGCCUGUGACGAAGCGUGAGUGACGGUAAUGGGUAAAGAAGCACCGGCUAACUACGUG
rnacentral:rRNA from 1 species